AUCUAAGUACCCCGAGGAAAAGAAAUCAACCGAGAUUCCCCCAGUAGCGGCGAGCGAACGGGGAGCAGCCCAGAGUCUGAAUCAGCUUGUGUGUUAGUGGAACGGUCUGGAAAGUCCGACGGUACAGGGUGAUAGUCCCGUACACCAAAAUGCACAGGCUGUGAACUCGAAGAGUAGGGCGGGACACGUGGUAUCCUGUCUGAAUAUGGGGGGACCAUCCUCCAAGGCUAAAUACUCCUGACUGACCGAUAGUGAACCAGUACCGUGAGGGAAAGGCGAAAAGAACCCCGGCGAGGGGAGUGAAAAAGAACCUGAAACCGUGUAC
rnacentral:rRNA from 1 species